rnacentral:rRNA from 1 species
UACGUAGGGCGCAAGCGUUGUCCGGAAUUAUUGGGCGUAAAGAGCUCGUAGGCGGUUUGUCGCGUCUGCUGUGAAAACUCGAGGCUCAACCUCGGGCUUGCAGUGGGUACGGGCAGACUAGAGUGCGGUAGGGGUGACUGGAAUUCCAGGUGUAGCGGUGAAAUGCGUAGAUAUCUGGAGGAACACCGGUGGCGAAGGCGGCAUCCUGGACCGACACUGACGCUGAGGCGCGAAAGCUAGGGUAGCAAACGGG